GUCAUCUGGUCCAAAUUCCCUGCUCCAACAGGGUCAUCCUAAAGCACACAGCACAGGAUUGUGUCCAGAUGGUUCUUGAAUAUCUUCAGUGAGGGACACUCCACAGCCGAUCUGGACAGCCUGUCCCAGUGCUUAGUCACCCACACAGUGAAGAGGUUAUUCCUCAUAUUGAGGUAAAACAUCCUGUGUGUUGGUUUCUGCCCAUUUUAUUCCUUGACACCACCAAGAGCCUGGCUCUGUCCUCUUGACACUCUUCCUUCAGAUACUUCUAGACAUCAGUGAGGUCCCCUCUCUGUUGUCUUUUCUUGAGGCCUCUUAAGAGAGAUGCUCCAGCCCCUUAAUCAUCUUUGUUGCCCCCCCUCUGGACUCACUCCAGGAGCUCUGUGUGUCUCUAGUGCUAAGUAUCCCAGAACUGGACAGAGCGCUCCAGAUGUGCCUCACCAGGGCUGAGUGGAGGGGCAGGAUGACUUCCCUUGAUCUGCUGAAAAUACUCUUCCUAAUUCAUCCCAGGAAACCAUUUGCCCUCUUGGCCCCAAGGGCACACUGCUGGGUCAUGGACAGCUUGUUGUCUGCCAGGACCUCCAGGUCCUCCACAGAGCUGCUUUUCAGCAGGUCAGCCCCCUGCCUGUGCUGGUGCCUGAGGUUAUUCCUCCCUGGGUGCAGGACUCUGCAUUUGCCUUUGUUGAAUUUCAGAAAGUUCUUCUCUGCCCAUCUCUCCACCCUGCUGAGUCCCUCUGGGGUUUCACCCACUAUUCCCAGCUUUGUGUCAUCAGGGAACUUGCUGAGGAGGCCUCUGCCCUUUCAUCUGAGUCACUGAUGAACAAGUUAAACAAUACUGGGCUCAGUAUUGAACCCUGGGGGGCACCACAAGUGACAGGCCUCCAACUGGGCCGUGUGCACUUAUUACAGCCCUUUGUGAUGUGCCAUUCAGGCAGCUCUCAAUCCACCUCCCUGUGCACUCAUCCAGUCCACAAGAGACAGUGCUGACAGCUUUGCUGAAGUCAAGGUGGACAAUAACCACUGCUCUCUCCUCAUCUGUUCAGGAAUGUGUUUCAUUACAGAAGUUACUCAGGUUGAUCAAGUGUGUUUUACCUUUAGAGAAUCCCUGCUGACAACUCCUGAUCACAUCCUUGUCAACUAUACAGAUAGAGAUUACCUUUAGGAUGAGGCAAUCAUCAUCAUCUUUCUAGGGACUGAGGUUAGGCUGACAGCUCAUAGUUCCCUGGGUCCUGCUUCUUGCUCUUUUUGAAAACUGGGGUGACAUUUGAUUUCUUACUGUCCUCAGACCCAUCCUCUGGUUAUCAUGACCAUUCAAAGAUUAUGGACCUGUUAGCCAUGGAGAAGUUGCAUGGCUGCAGUUGAGCUGAAGACUUCUGGAAGGGGAACUUGUUGGGGCAGUUCCAAAGGAUCCUGCAUAUUUUCUUCCUGCAGUAGAACGCUGUGAAAUUCAGGUAGCACUAGUACUGAGACUGUCACAUAAAAUUCAUGGUGUGGUUCACAAAAGUGCCUUGGAAACUGAGAAUAAGGCAAGGAGCUCUGGUUUGGACAAGGACAUCAGCCUUGUAAGCUGUAUUUUUGGCUGCCAAACCCAGUCUACAGAGAGGCCCCAAGACUGCUGCUGACCAACCAUGUGAUACGGGCAGAGAAGCAGAUUAUUUCAGUCUUGCUUCAGCACAAGCAUGAACAAACAGAGCUGGAACAGGAAAGUCCCUCCUGCCUGGAGAAGCUAUAGAAGACUCUGCCUCUUUAAAUUUUCUGAGUCAAAAACAGAGGCAUCAAGGAAGUUUCAUUGCUUCAAGAAUGAAGGCUGCCUGAGCAGUUUUUGGGAUUGCAGAUGUUUUGAACUAUGCCGAUGAAAGUCUUGCACAGGAAGUAAGUUCCUAUUUUAAAACAAGGCUGCAAUAUUGUUUGCCUGCGAAGAAACAAAGGUUACAUGUUUCAAAAGUUUGCACAAAAUAUCACUCCAUCAUCAAUGCAAGCUCAGAAGAAACAGCUGUUCCCUGUACAUUGAUUUUAGUUAAACCAACACAAAGUGCUUCUGAUACUUGCAAAUACCUCUUGCAGAGCCCAACAUCACAUACUUGAUAGUAUAAUUUCUUUCUAGGUUUUUGAUGUUCAGAAAAAGAUUUGGGAAGAUGUAUAGCCUCUAGUGAUGUCCAUCAUAAAAUUAAAGAAUAGUCUCAGUUCAGUAAUGAUACUGUAAUUCAGAGUCCAGAAAAUUUUUGUGGCAUUCAUGCAUUUUUCCAUGCCUUCACACAUUUGACUUUAUUUCAAGCAUGAUAGCAGCAAUUAAGUAUUUUAAGUAUAUAAUGCUUGCUUGUUUUCAUUAAUAUAGCCUUUUAAUAUGUUAACUAUAAAUUAUAAUCAUUAAAUUUUCAUGAAUGCGGUUUGGGGAUAAAAUUGGUUUGGGGUCUUUAUUUUCAUUCUGAGAGAUAAAGAAAUUAUUAUAGUAAAAGUCUUCAAGCACAGAAGUUGAAGACCUUGAAGACCAGCUUAGACCUUUGGAGAAGUUGGGAAUUGAUAAAAGCUUGUUCUUCGUACAUUGGCAUACCUUUUUGUAGUAGUUUCUUAUUCUUAGUUACUUUCAAGCUACUGAAGAAUAUGAAACAUUUGAACAUUGAAACAAAAUAGGCAGGAAGAGGGUGUAUCAUUUAAAGGGUGAUACUUAAUUGAGGAGAUGCACAACUCUUACUUAGUUCUCGGUUUUAGUAUAAAUAUAAUAUUCUCUGGAGAAGAUUAAGGAAGGUUAGGAAUAUUUCUAUCUAUAUUGCAGUCACUUUUCAUUAAAAGGUUGUAUGUAUACACUUUGCAAUAUUGUCUUUGAUUACUUAGCUGAAUGCUGUUAUUUCUUAAUCAGAAGGCAAAAGUGGGAGUUUUGCAUAUUUUAAAAAGAAAUUAAGACACGGUAAUUUUUUAACAAAGCUCAUUUGAAAGCUUGUAAUAACUAUAUUUCUUGGAAUAAUUUUACUCAUAAAAUGCUCAUUAAUAAUUUUCUGAACUUUAAAUUAAAUUAAAUUACAAUUAUGAUAUAAUUACCACAGAAUCACAUUAUUGUGGCAUUCUAUAGUGAUGCUUCCCCCAAAUAUUUCCCUGGUAUCUUAUCAGUAGCUUUGGGACCUAGAGGUAAUUAAUUUUUUUGCUUAAUAGCCCCUGUGAGAUUUUUUCCUCCAUAACUUUGUCUGAAACCAUUUUGAACCUGUACAAAAUUUUGUGAUUUACAACAUCAAUCCUUUUAUAUCACGUGGCAAUUAGUUCAGCAAACCUCAGCAUUUGCCCAGUAACUGAUUGCAGUAUUCAUUUGAAAGCUGUCUGGGUUCUCUUUCCAUGUCAUGACCACGACCCAUUU